AUUGAACGCUGGCGGCAUGCCUUACACAUGCAAGUCGAACGGCAGCACGGAGCUUGCUCUGGUGGCGAGUGGCGAACGGGUGAGUAAUAUAUCGGAACGUACCCAAGAGUGGGGGAUAACGUAGCGAAAGUUACGCUAAUACCGCAUACGAUCUAAGGAUGAAAGUGGGGGAUCGCAAGACCUCAUGCUCCUGGAGCGGCCGAUAUCUGAUUAGCUAGUUGGUGAGGUAAAGGCUCACCAAGGCAUCGAUCAGUAGCUGGUCUGAGUGGACGACCAGCCACACUGGAACUGAGACACGGUCCAGACUCCUACGGGAGGCAGCAGUGGGGAAUUUUGGACAAUGGGGGCAACCCUGAUCCAGCAAUGCCGCGUGAGUGAAGAAGGCCUUCGGGUUGUAAAGCUCUUUUGUCAGGGAAGAAACGGUGAAGGCUAAUAUCCUUUGCUAAUGACGGUACCUGAAGAAUAAGCACCGGCUAACUACGUGCCAGCCGCCGCCGUAA
rnacentral:rRNA from 1 species